AUUAUACAAAUAGGCAGUAUACACAGUGAGCGCCCACUAAGCGCUGGGCUGGGGGCCUCCAACCCGGAACAGAAGCCGGCCACAACCCUCGCUCCCUGUCGUCGCGGCCGUUAUAGGCCGAAAGCAAAAUCCAAUCCCGGGCCAUUGUGGGCGGAUUGCCAGGACCUGGAUCGCAACACUUGGGAAGACCCCCGCCCCGCCCAGCGAUCUCCGUGCCCUGAGUCCCAGUGACGGCCCCCUGGACAGCGGAGCCUGCUGCAGCGACGCGACGCGCUGGUACAGAUCUCAAAGCAAGGCUUGUUGGACAAAUAAAUGAAGAUGAGCCCAAGAGCCCAGGAGAGGGACCGGGAACAGCAGGGCCUCCGUGACUCACACAAGCUUCAUCCCUGAACCAAGGACGCAGCCUGCCAACAAUGGCCCCAAGCCACACCCCGCCACAGGGGGAACUGAUGCUGCGGUGAGAAGUGACAGCUUUCUGUUGACUCUUUUUUUUUUCAAGCAGAAUAUGAAUUGAGACAUACUUUCAUUUUCAUAAUCAGAACCUAACACUUAGUAACCAAUGUUGGUGGAAGCAAAUGAGAUCACAGUUUGUCUGUUCCAAACUCAUCUCUGGGAAAAGGAGGAGGAAAAAUUAUUGGCACUAUGUUCAGAAUCAUAGCUGAAGAUGCAGAAAUUGUUCAUCCCAAUUUUGCCUUUGUAAGUAAUGUGGGGGCAGUUCUUAUUAGUAAUUGCCAAUCUCUACUGAGACACAGUAUUUUGCUAGGCGCUUUAUAUUCAUUUCCUGGUAUGAUCAUGACAUUAACCCUGUGAAAUGCGUACCCUUACUAUCUCCAUGUGAAGAAAUGAGGGAACUGAGGACCAGAGAGGUGAACUGACUUGUCCAAAGACACACAGUAAGGGCUGUGACUCUCCGCUUUCUAAGAUUUUUGUUCUUAUCGCUCCACAGCACAUAGCAGGCGUAGUAUGAAGGCAGCAUGCUGCACAAUUUCGCUGUUUGUUUCUUGGAAUAAUAAUUUAUAGGGGACUGCUUCUAGAUUCCAAAGGAAAGAGAAAGGAAAUAUGCCCCAAACUCAGGCUUUCAGCCUGGCCCUGCCUGACUCACUGAGCUGCAUUGGACAAAUGAUUCAUUCACUGGCCUUGACCUCAGUGGGUUUGGCCACCCAUUGAGAGUGAAGUCACACCUCCAGCACUGCGAUGCAUUUAUUGAUCCACUCACCUAGCUUCAUGGCAGGCAAGAAACAGGCCUGUGUGAGCCUGCCCAGGAUCAGGGACAGGAGAGCACACAGGUGUUUCUGGAUAUCCUCAAGCUGUAGCUGGGCUGCUCGAUUCUUCCCUAGGAGAUCCUCCGGGGGCCUGAAUUAGUUUGCUAGGGCUUCCGUAACAAAGCGCCACAGACUGAGCGGCUUAAAUAAAAAUGUGUCAUCUCAUGGUUCUGGAGGCUGGAAGUCUGAGAUCAAGGUGCUGGGGAUUAGGACUUGAACAUAUGUUUUUUGGGGGCACACUUCAACCCUCCGGAGGGCCUGUGCCCCAAAGAGAGCCUCCUUCUGUGUGCAGUGAAGGUGUGAGUUCUAAACAUGAGAAAAAAACACCCCUUGUUCUUGGAUAGGGUGACUCGAUACCACAAGCAGGUCCAACUGGCCCAGGUAAAUAUAUUCGUUUAACAUGAUCGUCACCAAAAUAUUGAGGGUAGGUGUUUUUUUCUGGAGUUAAACAAGUUGAUUCUGGAGUUGAUAUGAAAUAAUAAACAAGCAAAAAUA